CGGACGGGUGAGUAACACGUGGAUAACCUACCUAUAAGACUGGGAUAACUUCGGGAAACCGGAGCUAAUACCGGAUAAUAUAUUGAACCGCAUGGUUCAAUAGUGAAAGACGGUUUUGCUGUCACUUAUAGAUGGAUCCGCAUCGCAUUAGCUAGUUGGUAAGGUAACGGCUUACCAAGGCAACGAUGCGUAGCCGACCUGAGAGGGUGAUCGGCCACACUGGAACUGAGACACGGUCCAG
rnacentral:rRNA from 1 species